rnacentral:rRNA from 1 species
AGUGAACGCUGGCGGUAGGCCUAACACAUGCAAGUCGAACGGCAGCACAGUAAGAGCUUGCUCUUACGGGUGGCGAGUGGCGGACGGGUGAGGAAUACAUCGGAAUCUACUUUUUCGUGGGGGAUAACGUAGGGAAACUUACGCUAAUACCGCAUACGACCUACGGGUGAAAGCAGGGGAUCUUCGGACCUUGCGCGAUUGAAUGAGCCGAUGUCGGAUUAGCUAGUGGGCGGGGUAAAGGCCCACCAAGGCGACGAUCCGUAGCUGGUCUGAGAGGAGGAUCACCCGCACUGGAACUGAGCCACGGUCCAGACUCCUGCGGGAGGCCCCAGUGGGCAAUAUUGGACAAUGGGCGCAAGCCUUAUCCAGCCAUACCGCGUGGGUGAAGACGGCCUUCCGGUUGUAAAGCCCUUUUGUUGGGAAAGAAAAGCAGCAGGUUAAUACCCCGCUGUUCUGACGGUACCCAAAGAAUAAGCACCGGCUAACUUCGUG